rnacentral:rRNA from 1 species
CAGUGCCUUUGAUACUGUAGGACUUGAAUCUAUUUGAAGUGGGCGGAAUAAGACAAGUAGCGGUGAAAUGCAUAGAUAUGUCUUAGAACUCCGAUUGCGAAGGCAGCUCACUAAGUUAGUAUUGACGCUGAUGCACGAAAGCGUGGGGAUCAAACAGGAUUAGAUACCCUGGUAGUCCACGCCCUAAACGAUGAUAACUCGAUGUUUGCGAUACACAGUAAGCGUCCAAGCGAAAGCGUUAAGUUAUCCACCUGGGGAGUACGGUCGCAAGAUUGAAACUCAAAGGAAUUGACGGGGGCCCGCACAAGCGGAGGAGCAUGUGGUUUAAUUCGAUGAUACGCGAGGAACCUUACCCGGGCUUGAAAGUUAGUGAAUGAUCCAGAGACGGAUCAGUCCUUCGGGACACGAAACUAGGUGCUGCAUGGCUGUCGUCAGCUCGUGCCGUGAGGUGUUGGGUUAAGUCCCGCAACGAGCGCAACCCCUAUGUUUAGUUGCCAGCACAUUAAGGUGGGGACUCUAAACAGACUGCCAGCGUAAGCUGUGAGGAAGGUGGGGACGACGUCAAGUCAUCAUGGCCCUUACGUCCGGGGCUACACACGUGCUACAAUGGAUGGUACAGCGGGCAGCUACAUAGCAAUAUGGUGCUAAUCUCUAAAAGCCAUUCACAGUUCGGAUUGAGGUCUGCAACUCGACCUCAUGAAGUUGGAUUCGCUAGUAAUCGCGUAUCAGCAAUGACGCGGUGAAUACGUUCCCGGGCCUUGUACACACCGCCCGUCAAGCCAUGAAAGUUGGGGGUACCUU